GACGAACGCUGGCGGCGUGCUUAACACAUGCAAGUCGAACGGUAAGGCCCUUUCGGGGGUACACGAGUGGCUCACGGGUGAGUAACACGUGGGUGAUCUUCCCUCCACUUUGGGAUAGGGCUGGGCAACUGGGUCUAAUACCGGAUAGGACUACGCGUUGAAUGUCGGGUGGGGGAAAGCUUCUGCGGUGGGGGAUGGGGGCGCGGCCUAUCAGCUUGUUGGUGGGGUGAUGGCCUACCAAGGCGACGAUGGGUAGCCGGCCUGAGAGGGUGUCCGGCCACACUGGGAUUGAGAUACGGCCAAGACUCCUACGGGCGGAAGCAGUGGGGAAUAUUGCACAAUGGGCGGAAGCCGGAUGCAGGGACGCCGCGUGGUGGAUGACGGCCUUCCGGUUGUAAACGCCUUUCAGCGCAGAGGAAGCGUAAGUGACGGUAUGUGCAGAAGAAGCACCGGCCAACUACGUG
rnacentral:rRNA from 1 species